CAGAGAAGUUUGACUGAAGUUUGUCUUUUCAUAAGAAAUACGAUACAACUUAAUUGUCAGCCAGGGCUGAAAUCUUUUGUGCAUCCCUGGGUAGCUCGUAUAAAAAAAUGACAUACACAUACAUACAGACAUACAUAAGAUUAAUAGCACCAACUAUGACUCAAACGGAUUCAGCUGUAGUUGAGCGUCGUGGUUGAACAGGUAACACUGGUCCGACCCAGGUCGUUGGUGUGAAAGAGGUAACUUUCCUGCCAUUUCCUGUUACCCAAACUCUUGAUGAUGUGAGACUGAGCUCUGCUUUCAGUCCGAGACGUAAACCCUCAGAUUACUGCCUUACUGUUGAUCAGAUGCCAAAAAAAAUCUCAGUGCAACGCUGACGAUUUUGCACUUCUGAAUGUGUCCUCUUACAUUUCGUCUGAAAGCAGCUCCGAGCGAGUGCAGACUGAAGGAUUUAUGAAGGAAUGUUUGAAUAUUAUGACUGUGUGGAAGUUUAGGUUUACUGGACAAAUUACAAUGAAUUUAAAAACAAAUGAUUGUCUUAUUUCUGGUGCAUCCCUUAAAGCCCCUGCACACUGUGUGAUUACGGCGGUCUGACGACUUCAUUUAGCUUUCUCUUUUUGGGGGGAAAGUUGUUGGAUACGUUAAAUAAAAGCGUGGGUGCAACCUGUGUGACACUGUACAACGUGCGUUUUCAAGCAUGUUGGGUUGCGCGUUGAAUGCGCGGUGAAUUGAAGCGUCACGAUGUAUUAAAACAAAAAUGCUAAGCACAGCUACAUACAACUGCAUUGUGGAAUUGAUGUUUGUUUACGGUGCCACAUUUGUAAUGCAGUUGCAUUUUACAACGUAAAACGUUGGCCUGGCCUCGACUUAAAGGGUCACUACCGUUUUUUUCCACCUGGACCCCAUUUCCCCAUGUGUCUAAGUGACUGAUGGGAACAACAAUCUUUGACAUUGGUCCAGUAUUAAGAGAGAUCGCUGCAGUCGGCAGCGGACAAACAAGCUACAGUGUAAGUUAACAGGGCAAUCGUCCAGCUUGUAUUUACCUUCACA